GUGUAUUAUCAAAGAAGAUUCAACAUUCAAAUGACAUUCCAUGGAGCAGAUGGGUAAAACAUAGGUUUGGAACAAAAAGGCCAGACCUACAGAGGGUGCACAUGGUUUGUGAAAGGUGGUCAAAAGAAUAUCCAAGGAGUGCACCUGCCUCAUCCCAAAAGACAAGGCCAGCAACAUCCUCAAAGUUUAUUCAUUAAUGAUCCUUCCGCAGGUUCACCUACGGAAA
rnacentral:misc_RNA from 1 species